rnacentral:sRNA from 1 species
UCGAGGGGGUCCCGUUGAAC